AUUGAACGCUGGCGGCAAGCCUAACACAUGCAAGUCGAACGAGUGGCGGACGGGUGAGUAAUGUCUGGGCAACUGCCCGAUGGAGGGGGAUAACUACUGGAACCGGUAGCUAAUACCGCAUACCAUCGGAUGUGCCCAGAUGGGAUUAGCUAGUAGGUGGGGUAAAGGCUCACCUAGGCGACGAUCCCUAGCUGGUCUGAGAGGAUGACCAGACAAACUUGAACUGAGACACGAUGCAGACCGCUACGGGAAGCAGCAGUGGGGAAUAUUGCACAAUGGGCGCAAGCCUGAUGCAGCCAUGCCGCGUGGAUGACGAAGGCCUUCGGGUUGUAAAGUACUGUCAGCGGGGAGGCGUUACCCGCAGAAGAAGCACCGGCUAACUCCGUGCCAGUAGCCGCGGUAAUAC
rnacentral:rRNA from 1 species